ACCAUUGGACAUGAUAGUACGGCGAGUGAGCGGCAACAGCUCAAAUUUGAAAGCUAGCCUUCGGGUUCGCAUUGUAAUUUGUAGAGGAUGAUUUGGGGAAGCCGCCUGUCUAAGUUCCUUGGAACAGGACGUCAUAGAGGGUGAGAAUCCCGUAUGUGACAGGAAAUGGCACCCUAUGUAAAUCUCCUUCGACGAGUCGAGUUGUUUGGGAAUGCAGCUCUAAAUGGGAGGUAAAUUUCUUCUAAAGCUAAAUAUUGGCGAGAGACCGAUAGCGCACAAGUAGAGUGAUCGAAAGAUGAAAAGCACUUUGGAAAGAGAGUUAAAAAGCACGUGAAAUUGUUGAAAGGGAAGCGCUUGCAAUCAGACUUGUUUAAACUGUUCGGCCGGUCUUCUGACCGGUUUACUCAGUUUGGACAGGCCAGCAUCAGUUUCGGCGGCCGGAUAAAGGCUCUGGGAAUGUGGCCUCCACUUCGGUGGAGGUGUUAUAGCCCAGGGUGUAAUACGGCCAGCCGGGACUGAGGUCCGCGCUUCGGCUAGGAUGCUGGCGUAAUGGUUGUAAGCGACCCAUCUUGAACCA
rnacentral:rRNA from 1 species